UGGAGAGCAACGAUGGUGAGUUUUGAUUUGUAAUUGAUGGCGGUGGUGGAGAGUUGUUGAGCUAAUGUCGCUCAAACUCCAGCUUCGUGCCCUGAUCUUUGAGAACAUCAUCAUCGUCCGUGGUAGUUGGUGAGAGUGAUUUGCUAAUUGUUGGACCUGGUGUUCUUGGUCGCUUGGUAGCUCAACAAUGGAGUCAGGUUAAUUUCUUUCGUUUGGGAUUCUCGCCUUUAUGUUCUUGCCAGGUUCCUUCUUUUAUCUUUAAUUUCUGAUUUGGUUUGAUUAUUGGAAAAUUGGUUGAUUUUUAACUUGCAAAUAAGUGUGCUUUUGGUUGUUUUGUUGGUUAUGGUAAUGCAAAUGUUAUGGUAUAGGUAAUGACAAUAGAUUACUAUAGUUGGUGUUAUAAUGUCUAGUAACUGGUGCUUAUUAAACUUCUGUCC